UAGGGAAUCUUCGGCAAUGGACGAAAGUCUGACCGAGCAACGCCGCGAGAGUGAAGAAGGUUUUCGGAUCGUAAAACUCUGUUGUUAGAGAAGAACAAGGACGUUAGUAACUGAACGUCCCCUGACGGUAUCUAACCAGAAAGCCACGGCUAACUACGUGCCAGCAGCCGCGGUAAUACGUAGGUGGCAAGCGUUGUCCGGAUUUAUUGGGCGUAAAGCGAGCGCAGGCGGUUUCUUAAGUCUGAUGUGAAAGCCCCCGGCUCAACCGGGGAGGGUCAUUGGAAACUGGGAGGCUUGAGUGCAGAAGAGGAGAGUGGAAUUCCAUGUGUGGCGGUGAAAUGCGUAGAUAUAUGGAGGAACAACAGUGGCGAAGGCGGCUCUCUGGGCUGUAACUGACGCUGAGGCUCGAAAGCGUGGGGAGCAAACAGG
rnacentral:rRNA from 1 species